AAUGGGCCGAGAGGGGCUCCAAGGGCUUGCGAGGAGGGAGCCACUGCUCGGCUGAGCGGCCCCUGCUGCCCGGCGGGGGAAUAGCCCCCGGACAGCAGGAGGGCCACCGCAGGAGUUCUGUCCAUUUCGGGGCACAAAACUUUAGGAAAAUUGUCAACAAAUUGGAGGGAGCCUGGAGGAGAGCAACAAAAGUGAUAAAAGUCUUUUUAUUAACAGACCAUGGAACCUAUAACAACUCAAUGCCCAAUUCACAAAUAUGGAGGCAUCAUAGCAAUAUACUCCUCUACUCCAGACACAAUUAUCUGG